rfam:Pelosinus sp. TFO1, complete genome.
UCCUCGAUAGCUCAGUUGGUAGAGCAAUCGGCUGUUAACCGAUCGGUCGUAGGUUCGAGUCCUACUCGAGGAG